UACGGAGGGAGCUAGCGUUGUUCGGAAUUACUGGGCGUAAAGCGCGCGUAGGCGGCUUUGUAAGUUAGAGGUGAAAGCCCGGGGCUCAACCCCGGAAUUGCCUUUAAGACUGCAUCGCUUGAAUCCGGGAGAGGUGAGUGGAAUUCCGAGUGUAGAGGUGAAAUUCGUAGAUAUUCGGAAGAACACCAGUGGCGAAGGCGGCUCACUGGACCGGCAUUGACGCUGAGGUGCGAAAGCAUGGGGAGCGAACAGG
rnacentral:rRNA from 1 species